rfam:Picea glauca, whole genome shotgun sequence.
UCAUAUGUACAUACCUACAAUGUUAAUGCACCAGAUCCCAUUAGAUCUCCACAGUUAAGUGCGCAUGGGAAAGAGUAGUACUAGGAUGCGUUACCUCUUGGGAAGUCCUAGUGUUUUACAUGCC